rnacentral:SRP_RNA from 1 species
UUGGUUCUCCCGCAAUGCUAACUUGUUAACUUGGUCAGGUCCGGAAGGAAGCAGCCAUGGCAGGGGAUGUGUGUGCCGGGAUGUCGCUGG